GUGGAGCCGACCUGCCAUUGGGUAAACGCAAGGGAGGAGAAAAGGCUCCAUACCUACCUAACAUCUAUCUUCUCAAGAACUCUGCCAGGGAAGGAGUAGUUUCUGUGUUUCAUAAACAGACUGAGACUCAAAGAGGCUAAGUAAACUACCUGAAGCCAUAUAUAGCAACACACAAUGACGGAUAAAACACUAGAUCUGAAUAACAAAGGAUGCAUACUUAAGCAAACUAAGGCAUAUAUAGUUAUCACUAAAUGCUCAACCUGGAAAGAAUACUGGAUUGCAGUCUGCUUUUUCUGUAAAGACAAUAGUAUUAUAAAACCGAAAGAGACAACAGGGAAUAUUUCCCACUCAACUAAGCAUAUCUAAAAGCACAUUUGAAGUUUGGAGACAAUAUUCUGUGUUAUUUUAAGAAAAGAUUCUAUAGCAUUAUUACCUGGUGGUAAGAAAAUAACAUGUAAAAGAAAAGGUAAUAAGAAUAAAAAAAAUAAGUAAAAGUAUGUGAACAUGCUAGACCUGGUUAUACAACUCAACUGUUGAGAAUGCAUUUUUGAAGUUGCCUGCAUGGUUGCUGCAAGCGUUCUUCAGUAUUUAGUAUAUGAAGACAGGCAUAUGCUCUGGCCAUUUCCAGAAAAGCCAAGGCUAUCCUGUAUAUUCUAGCCAUCUGUUGUUAGGUGAAAUGCGUGAAUGGCAUAGAGAAAUGUUAUGGAGAGUGAAUGUUACAUGCCUCUGAGAUACAAUAGAAAAGAAGCCCUUGAUUUAAUAUUUUGGUUCUUAGUUUGACUGUGAUUUAUAGGGAGUGAUAUUGCCCUGGGCCUUUCUGUCUCCUUUGUAUCAGGAAAUGAUUUGGUUUAGAGAAAAGCAGGCAAAGGUUUUAGUGGGACUCCCACCAGGAUAAUGGCCUUCUUUGUUCCUAGCUACUUCUUGA
rnacentral:lncRNA from 1 species